GUGUUCAGCCAUAUCACCUUGAAUGAGCCCAAUCCUGUCUAAUCUCAAAAGCUAAGCAGGGUUAGGCCUGGUUAGUACUUGGAUGAGAGAUCGCCCCAUUUUAAAUGCAGUUGCUCACU
rnacentral:rRNA from 1 species